rnacentral:rRNA from 1 species
UACGUAGGGAGCAAGCGUUGUCCGGAAUCAUUGGGCGUAAAGCGCGCGUAGGUGGCCUCAUAAGUCCGCUGUGAAAGUCAAAGGCUCAACCUUUGAAAGCCGGUGGAUACUGUGAGGCUAGAGUACGGAAGAGGCGAGUGGAAUUCCUGGUGUAGCGGUGGAAUGCGCGGAUAUCAGGAGGAACACCAAUAGCGAAGGCAGCUCGCUGGGACGUGACUGACACUGAGGCGCGAAAGCGUGGGGAGCGAACAGG